GACAUAUGGGGCAAGCGUUAUUCGGAAUUACUAGGCGUAAAGCGCGUGUAGGUGGGUGCGCAAGUCUGCCGUGAAAUCUCCUGGCUUAACUGGGAGGGUCGGCGGAUACUGCGUGUCUAGAGUUGGGUAGGGGUACCGGAAGUUCCUGGUGUAGCGGUGAAAUGCGUAGAUAUCAGGAGGAACACCGAUGGCGAAAGCAGGUACCUGGGCCUUGACUGACACUGAGACGCGAAAGCUGGGGUAGCAAAC
rnacentral:rRNA from 1 species